UACGAAGGGUGCAAGCGUUAAUCGGAAUUACUGGGCGUAAAGCGUGCGUAGGCGGUUUGUUAAGUCUGCUGUGAAAUCCCCGGCUCAACCUGGGAAUGGCAGUGGAUACUGGCAAGCUAGAGUGUGUCAGAGGAUGGUGGAAUUCCCGGUGUAGCGGUGAAAUGCGUAGAGAUCGGGAGGAACACCAGUGGCGAAAGCGGCUUCCUGGUCCAGCACCGACGUUCAGGCACGAAAGCGUGGGGAGCAAACAGG
rnacentral:rRNA from 1 species